rnacentral:rRNA from 1 species
ACGAACACUGGCGGCGUGCUUAACACCUGCCAGUCGCACGGAAAGGCCCUGCUUUUGUGGGGUGCUCGAGUGGCGAACGGGUGAGUAACACGUGAGUAACCUGCCCUUGACUUUGGGAUAACUUCAGGAAACUGGGGCUAAUACCGGAUAGGAGCUCCUGCUGCAUGGUGGGGGUUGGAAAGUUUCGGCGGUUGGGGAUGGACUCGCGGCUUAUCAGCUUGUUGGUGGGGUAGUGGCUUACCAAGGCUUUGACGGGUAGCCGGCCUGAGAGGGUGACCGGCCACAUUGGGACUGAGAUACGGCCCAGACUCCUACGGGAGGCAGCAGUGGGGAAUAUUGCACAAUGGGCGGAAGCCUGAUGCAGCAACGCCGCGUGCGGGAUGACGGCCUUCGGGUUGUAAACCGCUUUCGCCUGUGACGAAGCGUGAGUGACGGUAAUGGGUAAAGAAGCACCGGCUAACUACGUG